rnacentral:rRNA from 1 species
AAGUCGUAACAAGGUUUCUGUAGUGGAACGUUCGGUAAUGAAGUAUCCUUCAAUGAAGCCUUGUAGUCUGAGUCAACAAAUGUUGGCAACACCGUCCCUGUGCUUGGAUGUUAUAAAUAGACAACCAGCAGCUCUGAUAUCAGAGUCCACAGGUCAAACGACAGUGGUCCAGAAAUCUUUUGUUUUGUCUUUUAAGUUAACUGAACAGAAUAGUAGAAAGAUGGAUUAAAAUAUGAUCGGCCUUCUCUUGAAAAGGAGACAGACUUUGUGUUCCGUAGGUGAACCUGCGGAAGGAUCAUUACUGAGAACUUGCCCUUUUGGGUAGAUCUCCCACCCUAUGUUUUCAUACUUUGUUGCUUUGGCAGGCCUGCAUCUGUGCUACUGGCCUUGGCUAGUUAGUGCCUGCCAGAGAACCAACACUCUGAAUCAUUUAUUGUCUGAGUAUUAUUUAAUAGUUAAAACUUUCAACAACGGAUCUCUUGGUUCUGGCAUCGAUGAAGAACGCAGCGAAAUGCGAUAAGUAAUGUGAAUUGCAGAAUUCAGUGAAUCAUCGAAUCUUUGAACGCACAUUGCGCCCUCUGGUAUUCCGGGGGGCAUGCCUGUUCGAGCGUCAUUACAACCCUCAAGCUCUGCUUGGUAUUGGGUGUCACUGUCUGUGCACCUUAAAAUCAGUGGCGGUGCCAUCUGGCUUCUAGCGUAGUAAUACUUCCCGCUAUGGAGUUUUGGUGUAUGCUUGCCAUCAACCCCUAAUUUUUAAAGGUUGACCUCGGAUCAGGUAGGGAUACCCGCUGAACUUAAGCAUAUCAAUAAGCGGAGGAAAAGAAACCAACAGGGAUUGCCUUAGUAACGGCGAGUGAAGCGGCAACAGCUCAAAUUUGAAAUCUGGCGUAUGCCCGAAUUGUAAUUUGUAGAGGAUGUUUCGAAUGCGGUCUAGUCUAAGUUCCUUGGAACAGGACGUCAUAGAGGGUGAGAAUCCCGUAUGUGACUGGGUGCCAAUUUCAUGUGAAACUCCUUCGACGAGUCGAGUUGUUUGGGAAUGCAGCUCAAAAUGGGUGGUAAAUUUCAUCUAAAGCUAAAUACUGGCCAGAGACCGAUAGCGCACAAGUAGAGUGAUCGAAAGAUGAAAAGCACUUUGGAAAGAGAGUUAAACAGUACGUGAAAUUGUUGAAAGGGAAGCGCUUGCAAUCAGACUUGCAUGCAGUUGAUCAUCCGAUGUUCUCACCGGUGCACUCAGUUGUAUACAGGCCAGCAUCGGUUUUGGUGGUUGGAUAAAGGCCCAAGGAAUGUGGCUUCUUUCGGGGAGUGUUAUAGCCUUGGGUGUAAUGCAGCCUACUGGGACCGAGGACCGCGCUUCGGCUAGGAUGCUGGCGUAAUGGUUGCAAGCGAC